ensembl:lncRNA
ACAACACACACGUCGAUGCAGGGAUUAGGAUCUGACCAGGAAAGGGAGUCCUGGUAGAAGAGGCCUUUGGAGGGGGAAACCAUUCAAGACUUUAUUGCUGAGAAGGGGAGAUGGCUCAGUGGGCAGUGAAGAUGCUUGCUGUGUAAACCUGAGUUCCAUUCCUGGAGCCCACACUGGGGAAAAGACAACAACAGGCAGUAAUUCCAGCACUCCUGCUGUGAGAAUGACCCGGAAGCUGUCAGGCCAGCUACAUGGAAUAGGCAGCAAAGUGACAGAAACAAGAGAGAUCCUGUUUCAACAAGGUGAAAAGAGAGCCAACUCCUCAAAGUUGUUCUGUGACCUCCACAUGUACUCUGUGUCAUGCACACUGGCACAUACAUAUACCACACAUUAAAAUACACAUACAUACCAUACAUUAACACACACCACACACACUUAACACACACAUAACAUGCAAAUAUUAACACAAAUACACAUAUCACACAGUCAUUAACACACAUAUACCACACAUAAAUUAACACACAUACACAUACCAUAAACACAUUAAGACACACACACACAUUAACACAUACACAGACCACAUAUACAUUAACACACACAUAACAUGCACAUAUUAACACAAAUACACAUAUCACACACUCAUUAACACACACAACACACAUGCCAUAAACACAUUAAGACACACAUUAACAUAUACACAGACCACACAUAUAUUAACACACACAUACCACACACACAUAACACACAAUACCAUAAACACAUUAAGACACAUAUUAACAUAUAUAUAUCACACAUUAACACACACACCACACACACAUUAACACAUACACACAUAUCACACACACACAUACCACACACACAUCAAACAGUAACAAGAGAAGCUUGUCAGCUCAAGAAGACCUGUUAAAAAAACACUGGAGUGCCGGGGGAGUUGGUGGCGCACGCCUUUAAUCCCAGCACUCAGGAGGCAGAGGCAGGCGGAUCUCUGUGAGUUCGAGGCCAGCCUGGUCUCCAGAGCGAGUGCCGGGACAGGCUCCAAAGCUACACAGAGAAAGCCUGUCUUCUGUCUUGAAAAAAACCCAAACAACAAACAAGAAAAAAAAAAAAAAAAAAAAAAACCACUGGAUCCUGAACUGGGGUGGGAGGAAGAGUUCUCACCCAUUCAGCAUCAAAUAUCGAGUAAGCACAGUGUGUCCAGGAGGCAACAACAAUGUGAAGAGAACUUUUAAAGAGGAUGCAUUUAUUUAUAGUGCAAUUAAAUGUUCUUUUGAAGUUACAUGUGUAGAGGCCACAGAGCUGGGUCAUUGGUUGAGAACACUGGCUGCUCUUGCAGAGGACCUGCGUUUGGUUCCCAGCACCCACAUAGUGGCUCACAGCCAUCUGUAACUCCAGUUCCAAGAGCUCAGAUGCCCAAUUCUGAACUCUACAAGCACCAGGCACCAGGUACACGCGCGCGCGCGCGCACGCGCACACGCACACGCACACACACACACACACACACACACACACACACGAAAAACAAAACUAAGUAAAAAUAAUUUCAAGUGUAUUAUUUUUAAAAGACCGGAGGCAAAUUAAUCAAACGUGGUUUUUGAGAGGGAGUUUUCUAAGUAGGGGGAUUCUAGCCGUGGGUGGGGUGUCAGGAGGCUCAAUUUCCAGGCCAGCUCUCCCUCUCUCUUGCUGGGUGACUGUGAAAAUCUUCCACUUCAUACAGGGAACCAGGCACUCUCCCACUCAGACAUUACUUGAGAAUAAUCAGGACCAGGUGCUUAUGGGCAGUUUUAUUUGCACAGUUGGUACUGGCCACCCCUGUGUAGGCCCAGCUAGCCAAGCCUUCACCCCAGCCUGGGCCUCUCUCUCUUUCCUAACCUGGGAGGAAGCAGCCCCCAAACCCCCCACCCAUCUGUGGGCUCUGAUCUCAAAUUAGAAUUCCACCUCUUUCCUCUGCCUGAGUAUGAAUCAUGAAAAAGCCGCCUACACCAUCAGCUGCAGCCCCAGAAACAAAGAAGCUUUGGGCAGUGAUUGUCUGGACAGCCACCCUAGCCCCAGAGUGUCAUAGGGAAAGGAGGGGACCAAACAGGACAGGUGGCAUGUGUGUCACAGGUCUCUUCUUAUACCAGGUCUCCACAACUCCCUGGGUGGGUGACAAUGUGCUCUGUAUCACAGGGAGGAGGUGUCAAGGGAGGCUUAGUCCUCAGUGGGAUACUGGCUCAGGGUGGGAUGGGUUCUCCCUAGUGCUGAUGGUGAUUGUCAGCUGUCAAUCACAGUUGGGUCUCAUCCCCAUCGCUGUCCACACCACCUUAGCUUAGUGGUACCAGGAGUUUAAACCCAUUUCUGAUUGAGUCAAUGGGAAGCCUGCUCCUCCCCUGAGGAAAAUUCAGUCACAGCUGAUUCUCAGGCCUCUUUGUUCUCAGGCCUCAGUCCUCUCUGCCCCUACCCCCACCACACCCCCUCAGAAGCCCACAGAUCCAGAACGUUCUGUGAUCUUUCAAUGGUGGCUGUAACUCAGGUUCUUAGGAGAAGUGACUUCUUCAACAGGAUAGGGCAUAAACCACACUGGUGCCCCUGUCCCCCCUUGCUAAGCCACCCCCAGCCACCAGCUGCUGUUUCCUUUCACAAUGUUCCUACUUGGUCAACCGAAUUCACCCCUUUCCCUCAGCCUGCACCUCAUUUCUGCCCCCUUUAUUUUAUUUUAUUUUUAAUCAUAAAGUAGAAGAAAUUAUGCUCAUUCUUCCAUCUGACUUUAGCUUGUCAGGCACACAGUCAAGAUAAACAAUUGUUGGUUUUCAAGACAGGGUUUCUCUGUACAAUCACAGCUGGCCUGGAACUUGCUCUGUAGACCAGGCUGGCCUCAGACUCAGAGAUCCACCUGCCUCUGCCUCCCAAGUGCUGGAACUAAAGGUGUGCGCCACCACCGCCUGGCAGAAAGAAAUUUCUUAUCAAUGCUGUUACCUUCUUUUCUCAUGGCAGUCUUAUGUUCUAAUACUAAGAGCCCCAUGGCUGGGAGUAAAGCUUGCUUGUAGAGGGCUUGCCUGGCACAGAUGAGGCUCUGGAGUCCACCCCUGGUACAGAGAGAAAGAGGAAGAAGGAAGGGAAUUGAGAAAGAAUGAAAGAGAGAGAAAAAGACUAGGACAACAAAUGAAAGAAUCCUAUAGUUGUUUGUGUGGUCACCCACGCAUCUAAAUGCAUCAGAUUUCCCUGGGAAAAUGUGUUCUGACAGGGUCUUGGAAAACAUGGAAAUUGAAAGUUGUGCCCUGUCUCCAUCUUUAGAAUGUUCAAAUUAUGUUGGGUAGCCAUCUUAAUUUUUUUUUUUCUAGAACAGUGAUUCUCAACCUGUGGGCUGAGACCCCUUUGGGAGUCAAAUGACCCUUUCACAGGGGUCCCACAUCAGAUAUCUUGAAAAUCAGAUAUUUACAUUGAUUCAUAACAGUAGCAAAAUUAUAGUUCUGAAGUAGCAAUGAAAUAUUUUGUGGCUGGGGUCGGCACAACAUUAGGAACUGUAUUAAAAGGUCUCAGCAUUGGGAAGGUUGACAGCCACUGUUGUAGAUGGCCUGGAGCUCACUAGUUGCCCAGGAUGGUCUGAACUCACAGAAAUCCUCCUGUCUCAGCUCCCACAAAGUGUGGGCCACCAUACCUGGCUCUCUUGACUUCAUCUGCCAUGGAGGAUGUGCCGUUGUGUAAUAGACACCAGUAAAUACCCCACACAGCUACAUCCUAGCCUGCCUUCAUCCUGGGCAACUGUGGGGAGUCAAGUGUGCCCUGUGCUCUCUACAGUGCAGGAGCACAGUGAGAGGAUUGUCACUGCAUCACUUAAUUAAUCUGGUUCUAAAGAGAUCAAACUCCAGUCCUGAAUCUCUCCGACUGUCUUCUGCCAGAGCCAGGCCUUCCCGUGCACACCGCCGCUCCUGCACACUGCUCUAGGGACCUGAGCAGGGCCUCAGGACCAGAUGGGCCAGAAAAUUCAUGUUUGCAACUUCAUGGAUGCAAGAAGUAGAAAUCUGCCCUGAGUGCUUCAGACUCACUCUGUCCUAAGAUUGAUGGAGUGGUGCUUGUGACAUCUCAGAAGCUUGGUGGGGCAGAAUCUCCUGCUGAAUUCACUGUUGGGUUACCUGUCUCAAGUCUUCACUAGUGGUUGGCUAAACACAUCUGUCCCAUGAGCCAACCCACACUGAAGUAGAGGGUACAACCCAAGGAGAAGCACUAAGAGGCCUGAACAAGCUAGCCAGGGCACAAGGCUAACUGAGGUGCUCUUGGUCCUCAUUCUCUUGGUUCUUCAUCCUCUCCUGGUCUCCUUUCUUAUCUCCCUCUCUUCUCUUCUUCUCUCGCUCACCCCAAUCCUCUCUCAUGGCCCAAUCCAUCUGCUGGCCGUGUUCAGUCUAGACUCGUCCAGAUGCCUCUGCCUGUUCUCUUCCUCAUGUCUACAAUAAAAACUGUCUCCUCAACCUUACCUAGGAGUAGUGAUGUCCUCAUUUUCAUCCAAAGACCACAGACAACCCAUCUGCUAACAAUGGGCAGAUGG